rnacentral:rRNA from 1 species
ACUAAGCGUACACGGUGGAUGCCCUGGCAGUCAGAGGCGAUGAAGGACGUGCUAAUCUGCGAAAAGCGUCGGUAAGGUGAUAUGAACCGUUACAGCCGGCGAUGUCCGAAUGGGGAAACCCAGUGNCACUAUCGUUAACUGAAUACAUAGGUUAACGAGGCGAACCGGGGGAACUGAAACAUCUAAGUACCCCGAGGAAAAGAAAUCAACCGAGAUUCCCCCAGUAGCGGCGAGCGAACGGGGAGCAGCCCAGAGUCUGAAUCAGCUUGUGUGUUAGUGGAACGGUCUGGAAAGUCCGACGGUACAGGGUGAUAGUCCCGUACACCAAAAUGCACAGGCUGUGAACUCGAAGAGUAGGGCGGGACACGUGGUAUCCUGUCUGAAUAUGGGGGGACCAUCCUCCAAGGCUAAAUACUCCUGACUGACCGAUAGUGAACCAGUACCGUGAGGGAAAGGCGAAAAGAACCCCGGCGAGGGGAGUGAAAAAGAACCUGAAACCGUGUACGUACAAGCAGUGGGAGCACCUUCGGGUGUGACUGCGUACCUUUUGUAUAAUGGGUCAGCGACUUAUAUUCUGUAGCAAGGUUAACCGUAUAGGGGAGCCGCAGGGAAACCGAGUCUUAACUGGGCGUUAAGUUGCAGGGUAUAGACCCGAAACCCGGUGAUCUAGCCAUGGGCAGGUUGAAGGUUGGGUAACACUAACUGGAGGACCGAACCGACUAAUGUUGAAAAAUUAGCGGAUGACUUGUGGCUGGGGGUGAAAGGCCAAUCAAACCGGGAGAUAGCUGGUUCUCCCCGAAAGCUAUUUAGGUAGCGCCUCGUGAACUCAUCUUCGGGGGUAGAGCACUGUUUCGGCUAGGGGGUCAUCCCGACUUACCAACCCGAUGCAAACUACGAAUACCGAAGAAUGUUAUCACGGGAGACACACGGCGGGUGCUAACGUCCGUCGUGAAGAGGGAAACAACCCAGACCGCCAGCUAAGGUCCCAAAGUCAUGGUUAAGUGGGAAACGAUGUGGGAAGGCACAGACAGCCAGGAUGUUGGCUUAGAAGCAGCCAUCAUUUAAAGAAAGCGUAAUAGCUCACUGGUCGAGUCGGCCUGCGCGGAAGAUGUAACGGGGCUAAACCAUGCACCGAAGCUGCGGCAGCGACACUAUGUGUUGUUGGGUAGGGGAGCGUUCUGUAAGCCUGCGAAGGUGUGCUGUGAGGCAUGCUGGAGGUAUCAGAAGUGCGAAUGCUGACAUAAGUAACGAUAAAGCGGGUGAAAAGCCCGCUCGCCGGAAGACCAAGGGUUCCUGUCCAACGUUAAUCGGGGCAGGGUGAGUCGACCCCUAAGGCGAGGCCGAAAGGCGUAGUCGAUGGGAAACAGGUUAAUAUUCCUGUACUUGGUGUUACUGCGAAGGGGGGACGGAGAAGGCUAUGUUAGCCGGGCGACGGUUGUCCCGGUUUAAGCAUGUAGGCUGAUUGUCCAGGCAAAUCCGGAUAAUCAAGGCUGAGGUGUGAUGACGAGGCACUACGGUGCUGAAGUAACAAAUGCCCUGCUUCCAGGAAAAGCCUCUAAGCAUCAGGUAACAUUAAAUCGUACCCCAAACCGACACAGGUGGUCAGGUAGAGAAUACCAAGGCGCUUGAGAGAACUCGGGUGAAGGAACUAGGCAAAAUGGUGCCGUAACUUCGGGAGAAGGCACGCUGGUGUGUAGGUGAAGUCCCUGCGGAUGGAGCUGAGACCAGUCGAAGAUACCAGCUGGCUGCAACUGUUUAUUAAAAACACAGCACUGUGCAAACACGAAAGUGGACGUAUACGGUGUGACGCCUGCCCGGUGCCGGAAGGUUAAUUGAUGGGGUUAUCCGUAAGGAGAAGCUCUUGAUCGAAGCCCCGGUAAACGGCGGCCGUAACUAUAACGGUCCUAAGGUAGCGAAAUUCCUUGUCGGGUAAGUUCCGACCUGCACGAAUGGCGUAAUGAUGGCCAGGCUGUCUCCACCCGAGACUCAGUGAAAUUGAACUCGCUGUGAAGAUGCAGUGUACCCGCGGCAAGACGGAAAGACCCCGUGAACCUUUACUAUAGCUUGACACUGAACAUUGAGCCUUGAUGUGUAGGAUAGGUGGGAGGCUUUGAAGCGUGGACGCCAGUCUGCGUGGAGCCAACCUUGAAAUACCACCCUUUAAUGUUUGAUGUUCUAACGUUGGCCCCUGACCGGGGUUGCGGACAGUGUCUGGUGGGUAGUUUGACUGGGGCGGUCUCCUCCCAAAGUGUAACGGAGGAGCACGAAGGUUAGCUAAUCCUGGUCGGACAUCAGGAGGUUAGUGCAAUGGCAUAAGCUAGCUUGACUGCGAGCGUGACGGCGCGAGCAGGUGCGAAAGCAGGUCAUAGUGAUCCGGUGGUUCUGAAUGGAAGGGCCAUCGCUCAACGGAUAAAAGGUACUCCGGGGAUAACAGGCUGAUACCGCCCAAGAGUUCAUAUCGACGGCGGUGUUUGGCACCUCGAUGUCGGCUCAUCACAUCCUGGGGCUGAAGUAGGUCCCAAGGGUAUGGCUGUUCGCCAUUUAAAGUGGUACGCGAGCUGGGUUUAGAACGUCGUGAGACAGUUCGGUCCCUAUCUGCCGUGGGCGCUGGAGAAUUGAGGGGGGCUGCUCCUAGUACGAGAGGACCGGAGUGGACGCAUCACUGGUGUUCGGGUUGUCAUGCCAAUGGCACUGCCCGGUAGCUAAAUGCGGAAGAGAUAAGUGCUGAAAGCAUCUAAGCACGAAACUUGCCCCGAGAUGAGUUCUCCCUGAGACUUUAAGUCUCCUGAAGGAACGUUGAAGACGACGACGUUGAUAGGCCGGGUGUGUAAGCGCAGCGAUGCGUUGAGCUAACCGGUACUAAUGAACCGUGAGGCUUAACC